AUUGAACGCUGGCGGCAGGCCUAACACAUGCAAGUCGAACGGUAACAGGAAGAAGCUUGCUUCUUUGCUGACGAGUGGCGGACGGGUGAGUAAUGUCUGGGAAACUGCCUGAUGGAGGGGGAUAACUACUGGAAACGGUAGCUAAUACCGCAUAACGUCGCAAGACCAAAAAGGGGGACCUUCGGGCCUCUUACCAUCGGAUGUGCCCAGAUGGGAUUAGCUAGUAGGUGGGGUAACGGCUCACCUAGGCGACGAUCCCUAGCUGGUCUGAGAGGAUGACCAGCCACACUGGAACUGAGACACGGUCCAGACUCCUACGGGAGGCAGCAGUGGGGAAUAUUGCACAAUGGGCGCAAGCCUGAUGCAGCCAUGCCGCGUGUAUGAAGAAGGCCUUCGGGUUGUAAAGUACUUUCAGCGGGGAGGAAGGGAGUAAAGUUAAUACCUUUGCUCAUUGACGUUACCCGCAGAAGAAGCACCGGCUAACUCCGUG
rnacentral:rRNA from 1 species